rnacentral:rRNA from 1 species
GACGAACGCUGGCGGCGUGCUUAACACAUGCAAGUCGAACGGAAAGGCCCUGCUUUUGUGGGGUGCUCGAGUGGCGAACGGGUGAGUAACACGUGAGUAACCUGCCCUUGACUUUGGGAUAACUUCAGGAAACUGGGGCUAAUACCGGAUAGGAGCUCCUGCUGCAUGGUGGGGGUUGGAAAGUUUCGGCGGUUGGGGAUGGACUCGCGGCUUAUCAGCUUGUUGGUGGGGUAGUGGCUUACCAAGGCUUUGACGGGUAGCCGGCCUGAGAGGGUGACCGGCCACAUGGGGACUGAGAGACGGCCCAGACUCCUACGGGAGGCAGCAGGGGAGAAUAUUGCACAAUGGGCGGAAGCCUGAUGCAGCAACGCCGCGUGCGGGAUGACGGCCUUCGGGUUAUAAACCGCUUUCGACUGUGACGAAGAGUGAGUGACGGUAAUGGGUAAAGAAGCACCGGCUAACUACGUG